GACGAACGCUGGCGGCGUGCUUAACACAUGCAAGUCGAACGGAAAGGCCCUGCUUUUGUGGGGUGCUCGAGUGGCGAACGGGUGAGUAACACGUGAGUAACCUGCCCUUGACUUCGGGAUAACUUCAGGAAACUGGGGCUAAUACCGGAUAGGAGCUCCUGCUGCAUGGUGGGGGUUGGAAAGUUUCGGCGGUUGGGGAUGGACUCGCGGCUUAUCAGCUUGUUGGUGGGGUAGUGGCUUACCAAGGCUUUGACGGGUAGCCGGCCUGAGAGAGUGACCGGCCACAUUGGGACUGAGAUACGGCCCAGACUCCUACGGGAGGCAGCAGUGGGGAAUAUUGCACAAUGGGCGGAAGCCUGAUGCAGCAACGCCGCGUGCGGGAUGACGGCCUUCGGGUUGUAAACCGCUUUCGCCUGUGACGAAGCGUGAGUGACGGUAAUGGGUAAAGAAGCACCGGCUAACUACGUG
rnacentral:rRNA from 1 species